rnacentral:rRNA from 1 species
AUUGAACGCUGGCGGCAUGCCUUACACAUGCAAGUCGAACGGCAGCACGGGAGCAAUCCUGGUGGCGAGUGGCGAACGGGUGAGUAAAGUAUCGGAACGUGCCCAGUCGUGGGGGAUAACGUAGCGAAAGUUACGCUAAUACCGCAUACGACCUAUGGAUGAAAGCGGGGGAUCGCAAGACCUCGCACGACUGGAGCGGCCGAUAUCAGAUUAGGGGGUUGGGGGGGUAAAGGCUCACCAAGCCGACGAUCUGUAGCUGGUCUGAGAGGACGACCAGCCACACUGGGACUGAGACACGGCCCAGACUCCUACGGGAGGCAGCAGUGGGGAAUUUUGGACAAUGGGCGAAAGCCUGAUCCAGCCAUGCCGCGUGCAGGAUGAAGGCCUUCGGGUUGUAAACUGCUUUUGUACGGAACGAAAAGGUUUGGCCUAAUAAGCUGAGCUCAUGACGGUACCGUAAGAAUAAGCACCGGCUAACUACGUGCCAGCCGCCGCCGUAAAAC